rnacentral:rRNA from 1 species
UACGAAGGGGGCUAGCGUUGCUCGGAAUCACUGGGCGUAAAGCGCACGUAGGCGGCUUUUUAAGUCAGGGGUGAAAUCCUGGAGCUCAACUCCAGAACUGCCUUUGAUACUGAGAAGCUUGAGUCCGGGAGAGGUGAGUGGAACUGCGAGUGUAGAGGUGAAAUUCGUAGAUAUUCGCAAGAACACCAGUGGCGAAGGCGGCUCACUGGCCCGAUACUGACGCUGAGGAGCGAAAGCGUGGGGAGCGAACAGG